rnacentral:lncRNA from 1 species
GCACUUGGAGAUGCACAAAAGAAGACUGGAGGAAAGUUAUUCACUUGCCAAGAAGCCAGAGAUGGGAUCCAGAAACUCAAGCAUUAGAGGGAUUUGACUCUGCCUGCCUGGGAGGACACAUCUGCACUAGUCAGUGUGACCUGAGCAAGGGUCAGGAGGCUGGAGUGAUGGCCCAGGCUUGUGUAACUACUUCCUUCAAAUGGAAGAAUCCUCUCAGGGACACAAAGAAGCUACAAGAGUCACGGGCCUCUGUCCAAGGUUACAUAGGCAGGAAGCAACUGCUGGACAGGGGAGCAUUUGGGUGGGGCUGGCUGCAAGAUGGGCUUGGAGCGCCAGAGAUUCAGCCUCAUCUGAGCUGGGGUGAACUUUUCAGUGAGAAAGCUGCUUUUUGGUCAUCCACACUCCUGUGAGAAACGCCAAUAAAUUCAUUUCUUCACCAA